ACUCAAAUGAAUAGACGGGGGCCCGCACAAGCGGUGGAGCAUGUGGUUUAAUUCGAUGAUACGCGAGGAACCUUACCAAGGCUUAAAUGGGAAUUGACGUGCUUAGAAAUAGGCAUUUCUUCGGACAAUUUUCAAGGUGCUGCAUGGUUGUCGUCAGCUCGUGCCGUGAGGUGUUAGGUUAAGUCCUGCAACGAGCGCAACCCCUGUUUCUAGUUGCCAUCAUUAAGUUGGGGACUCUAGAGAGACUGCCUACGCAAGUAGAGAGGAAGGUGGGGAUGACGUCAAAUCAUCACGGCCCUUACGCCUUGGGCCACACACGUGCUACAAUGGACGGUACAGAGGGACGCUACCCAGCGAUGGGAUGCAAAUCUUGAAAGCCGUUCUCAGUUCGGAUUGGAGUCUGCAACUCGACUCUAUGAAGCUGGAAUCGCUAGUAAUCGCGCAUCAGCCAUGGCGCGGUGAAUACGUUCCCGGGCCUUGUACACACCGCCCGU
rnacentral:rRNA from 1 species